rnacentral:tRNA from 1 species
AUUUAAAUAGUUUAAUAAAAAUGCUAGUUUGUGGGGCUAGAGUUGUAUAUAUAAUUAUAUUUUAGAU